ACAACCUCUAUGGCAGCCUGUGGACACUCUCAUUCCUAAUAUGUUGCUCUUACAAACUGAAAAUUUUAUUUUAAAUCAUAAGUUUAUCAGAACACCUCUGUACCCACAUACCAGAAUGCAUUCACCAAACUGGCAUGCCACUCUGUGAAGAAGACAGCAUCACCAGGAUUUCCCAUACACCACUCACCCAGACUUCCCACUGGAUAAAUGCUGCCUGUGCUCUGGACCCUACCUGCCCUUGUGGGGUUAGAGGCUGGGGAGCAGAACUGCAGAAGAAGCCUUACCUCUCUGGAGUAACCAAGAUGUCCCAAGCAACACUGAUGCCACAGCGUUGUGGCCCACAGAGCAGUGCACAAAGAAUCAUUAUAAGCUAAUCCUGAUGUGUCUUACCCGUGUGUGCCUGCGUUUUCCUCUACUGCUCCAUAGCAUGGACUUCACAUGCCCUAUGCAUAUCAUGCAUCUAAUCUUCAUAUCUGCACAAGCAAUUAUUGCAGACUUUCCAUAGGGGUUUUUGUCUUUUAAUGAUAAAAAUGGAUGGACACAAAAUUACUGAUUUGGAGAUGUUUAUUCAAAUAAUUACUGUGAAUAUAUAUUCUUAGAUUUCUUUCUUUUAUCACUAUAGCUACUACCUUUACAUUUUCCUCUAAAAUUUUUUCACAUAUGUUUUUUGGUUUACGGGGGUUGUUGUUGUUGUUGUUGCUGCUGCUGCUGUUGCUACUGCUGCUGCUGUUUUGGACAUGGUUUUGCUAUAUAAAUCAAGAGCAGCCUGAAAGUCAUGACCACCAUACCUAAUAUUAACCUUUUGUUACUCUAACUGUGCCAAACUACUGCAUUUUCACUAAACUUUUAAUAAAGUCCAUGAUGUAUGCACUUAA
ensembl:processed_transcript Gm26974 predicted gene, 26974